GUUGUGGGUUCAUGACUCCUCUUUCCCCCUUUUGCAGCUGCAGUUCCUCAGCCAGGAAUUUUUCAUGUGAUCUCCGGGGAAGCUCCUGCUCACUUUUCAAGAGGCUGGUGGGCAUCACCUUCUGGAGUUGCCCUUAUCCCAACAGAUGUGCUUUCCUGUCCCUCUGUAUGGCUGUGUCUGGACAUUGUGGGCAGCACCCUGCUGCGCUCAGGACAUGGUUCAAGGAUGGAUUCUCAGAAUAGGAUGGUUCCAAGGAAAUGGACAUUUUCAUGACUAGAUCUGCAAAACCAAGUGGUUUUCUAAAGCAAGUCUCAUUUCCCUGGGGGACUGGUUGAUGACACAAAACACUGUGUGUGAGAGGGGUGGUCAUUCUAGGAACAUGGCCCAUGGGACAAGCCGACCUCCCAUCCACUCGAGUCCUGCCUGAUUCUAUAUGAGAUGUGGGGCCUUGCCAGGCUUCAAAAGGAUUUACCAGAUGAUAAAACAAUAAAACAUCGGGAUGUGACCCUUCUUU
ensembl:lncRNA